UCUCUCCCUCCCUCCCUCUCUCAUCUCCUCAAGUCUCAAUCUCUUUCUCUGCUUCUGCUCUAAUGGCAACGGAAAUCUCCAUGAAAGCUUCAAGCUUUGGUUUCAGACAGAAAUUACUCAAAAGUCUCAAAUCUUGAAGAAUUUAGGUUUCUCCAAGGUUACAAGAACAGUUCCUUCUCAUGGGUGUGAAGUUGCGUAUAUGUAUUACAGUUUCUCUCUCUCUCUCCCUCUUCCAUUUCGAAGUAGUUACUUGUUUGCAGCAGCA